AUGCCGCGUGUGUGAAGAAGGCCUUCGGGUUGUAAAGCACUUUUGUCCGGAAAGAAAUGGCUCUGGUUAAUACCUGGGGUCGAUGACGGUACCGGAAGAAUAAGGACCGGCUAACUACGUGCCAGCAGCCGCGGUAAUACGUAGGGUCCAAGCGUUAAUCGGAAUUACUGGGCGUAAAGCGUGCGCAGGCGGUUGUGCAAGACCGAUGUGAAAUCCCCGAGCUUAACUUGGGAAUUGCAUUGGUGACUGCACGGCUAGAGUGUGUCAGAGGGGGGUAGAAUUCCACGUGUAGCAGUGAAAUGCGUAGAGAUGUGGAGGAAUACCGAUGGCGAAGGCAGCCCCCUGGGAUAACACUGACGCUCAUGCACGAAAGCGUGGGGAGCAAACAGGAUUAGAUACCCUGGUAGUCCACGCCCUAAACGAUGUCAACUAGUUGUUGGGGAUUCAUUUCCUUAGUAACGUAGCUAACGCGUGAAGUUGACCGCCUGGGGAGUACGGUCGCAAGAUUAAAACUCAAA
rnacentral:rRNA from 1 species